rnacentral:rRNA from 1 species
UACGGAGGGCGCAAGCGUUGUUUGGAAUCACUGGGCGUAAAGCGCGUGUAGGCGGCCCUGCAAGUCGGGUGUGAAAUCCCGAGGCUCAACCUCGGAACUGCACUCGAAACUGCUUGGCUCGAGUCCCGGAGAGGGUGGCGGAAUUCCCGGUGUAGGGGUGAAAUCCGUAGAUAUCGGGAGGAACACCAGUGGCGAAGGCGGCCACCUGGACGGUGACUGACGCUGAGACGCGAAAGCGUGGGGAGCAAACAGG